AUUGAACGCUGGCGGCAUGCCUUACACAUGCAAGUCGAACGGCAGCACGGGAGCAAUCCUGGUGGCGAGUGGCGAACGGGUGAGUAAAGUAUCGGAACGUGCCCAGUCGUGGGGGAUAACGUAGCGAAAGUUACGCUAAUACCGCAUACGAUCUAAGGAUGAAAGUGGGGGCUCGCAAGACCUCAUGCUCCUGGAGCGGCCGAUAUCUGAUUAGCUAGUUGGUGAGGUAAAGGCUCACCAAGGCAUCGAUCAGUAGCUGGUCUGAGAGGACGACCAGCCACACUGGAACUGAGACACGGUCCAGACUCCUACGGGAGGCAGCAGUGGGGAAUUUUGGACAAUGGGGGCAACCCUGAUCCAGCAAUGCCGCGUGAGUGAAGAAGGCCUUCGGGUUGUAAAGCUCUUUUGUCAGGGAAGAAACGGUGAAGGCUAAUAUCCUUUGCUAAUGACGGUACCUGAAGAAUAAGCACCGGCUAACUACGUGCCAGCCGCCGCCGUAACAC
rnacentral:rRNA from 1 species